UACGGAGGGUGCAAGCGUUAUCCGGAUUCACUGGGUUUAAAGGGUGCGUAGGCGGGCAGGUAAGUCAGUGGUGAAAUCUCCGAGCUUAACUCGGAAACUGCCGUUGAUACUAUUUGUCUUGAAUGUUGUGGAGGUAAGCGGAAUAUGUCAUGUAGCGGUGAAAUGCUUAGAUAUGACAUAGAACACCAAUUGCGAAGGCAGCUUACUACACAGUUAUUGACACUGAGGCACGAAAGCGUGGGGAUCAAACAGG
rnacentral:rRNA from 1 species